CUGCGAAAUCUCGCCUGUGCCAGUAUAAAAGUUUUGGUAUUAUGAUCUUCUUCUUGCCGACCACUUUAACUGAAGCUUCAAGGUACAGGAGACACUAAGAAGGAAUUGAAGCACAAAAGCAACACUCUGCCUUUUGGAAAUAGAUAUUUUUUGUGUUUAGGUUUGAUCUUUCUCAUUAUCUGUAAAAUCUCAGGGCAAUAUGUUGUUCAAAAUUAGUGCUAAACUUGUUUUCUUUUUUUGUUUCUUUUUGUUUACUAGAUUAAUAAGUGUAUUUGUCGGAGCCCAAUGAUCUAUUGUUUACAUGGACCUUGUUUUUGUUCUUUUUGAGUCAAAUUGACUUGUGGCUUAUUUUGGGCUAAGUGAGCCAAGUUGGGCCACAUGGGUUUAGUUAGGGUUCAAAAGGAAAUAGGUUAAGAGAGAAAACUAGCUUCUCCACUUUUCUAACUUAUUCCCUUAUUUUGGUGUUUCUCUUAAGAGCAAGAGAAGUGUGAAAGAGGGUCCAAAGGUGGUUGGGGUUUUGCUAGGUUUGAGGUGGGUGACCUCUAAUCUACCUCUUUCCUUCUCUUAUGAACAUCCAUUGUAAGGUCCUUUUGAUUGAAGGUUUAUUUGAUAUUCUUGGGUUUUUCUUA